AAAUCAAUUGGGCUAAACAAAUAUAAAAACUUCAAGCGACGUUGUUUUCAAGGGGAAAUGCAAAAGCUACUUAUAAAAGAUUUCCAAUGUUCAAGACUGAGUCAGAAGUAGGAAGACAGGUCCUGAUCAAACAUUCGCAUUUCUUACCUUCUCAGAUUAGCUUGUUAUCCUUCUUUAAUGGACUUCCUCAAUUCCCAUGACGAUAAGCACCCUCUCAGGGGUGACUGUAGAAACAGUGAAGACGUUGACAAGUGCUUUUGCCGCAUUGAGAUUGAGGACAGGCAGUUGACGGCACUUCGCAGCCUUCUUUUUUCACUGUCACGACUCUGAAAAUUAGGAUCAUGCUUCACAGCAGAAAUUCUGAGUGCUUCUGGAAGAAUGCAGUUGCAAACUGAACCUGCCACAAGUUCAAUGACGAUGAUA